CAACAUCAACACCAGGAUAUUCACGUUCACUUCGAGGGAAGACUCCCACUAUAGGCAGAAUUGGAGGCGGGACAGGAUCUACGUGGACUGGCAAAUAUUACGACAAGUGGAUUAAGUGUGGAGUCAGCAUUCCUGGAGACAGUCGCGUGGUCACGUGGACAGGAGCGGAAGAGAAAACGACCCAACCACCAACAGAAAAGCCAGAGCCAACUUUAAAACCAGCCACUCGGUGCUUAGGAAGCUAUUGUCCCGGAUCCUAUGUGACAGGUGCUAAAUGUGUCAACGGAUACUGUGUGUGUUCUUCACCCGGAUACAAUCACUUAACUUGUCUACCUGAAUAUGCUGGUUGCUCAAUAGAACAAACCAAAGAACCAAAGGCGGUUCCUUCUUUUAAUGGCAAGAGGCUAUCAUCCACAUAUAGCUGUAUCAGUGACACGGCUUG